UAUGCAGGUGUUUCGAGUUUUAACUCGAAAAGCAAAAUGGGUUUGCCGAAUGGUUUCCAUGGGUGAGUCUUGGCCCGAUGUUCUACAACGCGGUCGUUAGUUUCGCAUCUCUGACGACGACAUUAUCAGUGUGUUCUUUAAAGUGAUAUUAUGGGCAUUUUUCACUGAUGAAUUGAGCUGAAAAGAAUUAACUGGUCAAAAGAGUCCAAGUAUCUGCAACUCAUCUUGCUACCAGUUGUUUAUAAAAAAAUAUAAAUUCGGCGCCAGCCCGAUGAGCGGAAAAAAACGUCGGCCGCUAAUCGGACGGUGAUCGGUGUCUAUUUGUGACUGAGGUUUUAAACUUUGUCACUCAUCGAACGGCGGACGGCUCCGACGUGUCCAGUCUUCCCGAUGCAUGGAGAUCGGACACAACGGCCGGCGACCGGAUAAUUUGUGACUAAGGCAUAAAGGAGGUGGAUUAUGAGUUCCAAUAUGUCAACAGUUGUGAGCGAAUCUGAAUAUUUCUAACGACCUAUAAAAGUGUGUUUUGAAUAUCUAUUUAUGGUACACACCACUUCUGCUCAUUAUUGUCUUAGAACUAUGACAUGCAGAUUUACGCAUGUAUUGACACACUAUUACUGAUAUUGGGAAUCGUUUACAACAACAAUUUUGAUUUCUUUCGGGAUAAGAAUGGUUGAACCCAUGGAAACCUGGAGAGACAAUGCAGUGUUCGAACUACGUGCUAAUACUCACCUUGGUUGGCCCGGCGAACGGGUUUAUGGCGGCCAACACAACUACCUCCUUCCGUGUUGUUGCCAAUAUUGAUGGACUCCUGACUUGUAUAAACUUGGCUUCAGUAAUAACCCCAGCAGUAACAUAUUGCCGAUCCUGAUGUUCACAACCUAAAGCCACAUCAAACGUACCACCGACUCAACCGAUAACCAACUUGGAACAACAACCACUUGCACUAAUUCCUGUCGAGUAUGAGAAAGCAGUUGGAAAAGACAGUAAACGCGCUAAAAUGCCAACAAUUAUGAAGAUCGAAAACAUUCUCGGAUCAAGUAAAACAGAUUACCAAUAUGAAUUUUCGCAAGCAUUUCAACAAUAAUGGAAUGAGCAUGCGCACUUCGGAAUUGGCAAAGAUGCUAAAGGACUUACACAUUCUAACAUGGAUAUUCAAUGUAUAAGACCUGUUGAUAAUCAGUUCGCUUUAUGGAAUUAAAUUAUUAGAAGGCAGACAGUCUGUGAUUUUGCUGCAUCGGUUGGUGGUUAUUUGAAAAACCUUCAUGAAUACAAAAACGAAUGCUCUAAAACACAUGUUGUUAACACUGACAUCGUUUUUCAAGAAAGUUGUACUCUGGUAAAAGAAAAAUUGUCGAAGAAUGUUGAUAACAGAAUAAAUGAAUAUUAUCUAUUCCACGGGACACUUUCUUUAAACGCAGAUUGUAUUGCAAACAAUGGAUUUAACGUCUAUAAAUGCCGAUGCAAUGCAAUGCUCGGAAUAGGGAUUUAUUUCACAGAUAUCCUCGUAAAAGCCUAUCAGUACACACGACCACGUACAGAUAUGUCCUACUCAAAUAAAGCAGCUAUGUUGAAAGAAGAUAUUAUAGCAGACAUGAAUUCACAUGCAUUUAUGUAUAUUUUUCCACUUUGGUAUAAAGUGCACUUCUGCAUCAACUCACCAAUAUUUUCUUCUUGUAUUUUUCUAGUAUUUUAUAGAUGAAAGCGGGUUAUCCUGCGUUAUAAUGGCACGAGUUCUUCUCGGAGACUUUGUAAUUGCCCCGAACUCAUCCCAAAUUCCGUCGACAAGCCUUCAGCCGCCAUGCAAGGAAUGCAUGACCACCGUGUGUAAAAAGGAGUCAGAAAACAGACAUCCGUGAUUUGAUUCAGUCGACUAUACUGGUGGAUUGUACAAGGAAUUUGUUGUUUAUGAUAACUGGCAAGCAUAUCCAGAAUUUAUCAUUUUCUAUAAACGUCUGUAAAAGCAAUUAAGAUCACGAUGAACGUCAAAUCAUAUAUAGGUUUGUAUUUGUUCGUGCAUUGAGAGUGGGAAACAAGUAAAUAAACAUUCCAAAGUGUGUCUAAAUUAAGUAUUUUGGUUAUGGAGUUUUAUGAAAAUAUGGACGUACCUUGCUGUCUCAUUAAAUAAGUACAUUUAUAAAAUAUUAUGUAAGAGUGAUUAAGAUAGCAUAACUUUCGUUUUUUUCUGAUGUAUUAUGUGUAGUAUACAUGUGUUAGGCGUGUGGAACGAGCAUUUGAUCAAAUACGAAACUUAACGAUAGACAGGCUUGUAUAUGUAUGUCUUAAAAUGCAUUGAACAUCCAUGUUUCAAAUCAAAUGCAAACAAAACAAAAGAUUAUUUAUAAUAAUAGUUUUCAAAGAGAAAAACAAUUUACGAACAAAAGCCAAUACAAUUUGCAUACAUCUUUGUGCACAAGCAGCGCGAUGAACCAACACCGCCACGUAACCACAAGUAUAUGAACGCUGUGGAUGACUGAUUUCAGUGAAUUUAUGAAGUAGUUGAUCUCUGACAAAUCCACAAGAAACUAGUUAUCAUUAGAUGUUGUUUUAGACAAUGAAAGUAUAAACGUGUUGCGAUACAAGCACGAUUGAGUAUUAAGCAUAAUAUUAAAUGUACGACUUUAUUAUAAUGGAUGUAUUUUUUUACUUAACUUUGAAGACAUGAUUUAAAUAUAUCCAAUAACAAAGAUGCUUUGUGAUAAGAAAAGCUAUUCGUUUCAAACAAGUCAAACGGACGAAACACAUAGCGUCAAUUAUAGGGAUUUAUCGACUUCAUUUUCGGUAUUUAAUGAUAUCACGUGGUAUGCUUGUGUAGAAUAGGGAAUAAUGGUCGAUUGUUAUUCUGAGGUCUAAGCGACACACAUUGCCUCACCAUUUGUUUCUUAGCUUCAUAUUAUUGUAUUUGUUAUGUCCAUCCCGUUAUUUAAUUAAAUUUUCACAAAAUCAUACACCUAUUGCAACCGGUGUUACAGUUACA